AUUGAACGCUGGCGGCAGGCCUAACACAUGCCAGUCGAGCGGAUGAAGGGAGCUUGCUCCUGGAUUCAGCGGCGGACGGGUGAGUAAUGCCUAGGAAUCUGCCUGGUAGUGGGGGGUAACGUCCGGAAACGGGCGCUAAUACCGCAUACGUCCUGAGGGAGAAAGUGGGGGAUCUUCGGACCUCACGCUAUCAGAUGAGCCUAGGUCGGAUUAGCUAGUUGGUGGGGUAAAGGCCUACCAAGGCGACGAUCCGUAACUGGUCUGAGAGGAUGAUCAGUCACACUGGAACUGAGACACGGUCCAGACUCCUACGGGAGGCAGCAGUGGGGAAUAUUGGACAAUGGGCGAAAGCCUGAUCCAGCCAUGCCGCGUGUGUGAAGAAGGUCUUCGGAUUGUAAAGCACUUUAAGUUGGGAGGAAGGGCAGUAAGUUAAUACCUUGCUGUUUUGACGUUACCAACAGAAUAAGCACCGGCUAACUUCGUG
rnacentral:rRNA from 1 species